AGCGACAUCCGCUUGUUCAUUCUUGCUCAGGACUUGCCCAAGAUCAUCUUGACUUGGCUCUUUUUGGUACACUGUGUUGUAUGCCAACAUUGAUGGAAUUUUUUACGCUGCCGUUUGUCCCUAAAUUCGCCUUGUGCUGCUCAUGUGGUGCGUGGUGAACAAUGUAGUGCCUCGUGAUGCCCUGGCUGUCGUCACUUAUUGUGUUGUCGGUUAGGGAGACACGUGAAACUCGAACUCUCGAAUACAGAAAGUAAUGUUGGGUGUAUGGGGUCUAGCACUCCGUAAGCCCAGAUUGAGCACUCUCGCCAACGACGUUGGGCAGAGAGCGUCAAAAGACAAACUGUCGAACCUCGUUCCGUAGGAUCUGGAGGCGUACGAUUGUAUAACCAAAGGCUGCUCGGGCCGGGGGACGUCGGCAUGUUUGCCAAGGAAUGC
rnacentral:misc_RNA from 1 species